UUGAUCAUGGCUCAGAGCGAACGCUGGCGGCAGGCCUAACACAUGCAAGUCGAACGGAUCCUUCGGGAUUAGUGGCGGACGGGUGAGUAACACGUGGGAACGUGCCCUUUGGUUCGGAACAACUCAGGGAAACUUGAGCUAAUACCGGAUGUGCCCUUCGGGGGAAAGAUUUAUCGCCAUUGGAGCGGCCCGCGUCUGAUUAGCUAGUUGGUGGGGUAAAGGCCCACCAAGGCGACGAUCAGUAGCUGGUCUGAGAGGAUGAUCAGCCACAUUGGGACUGAGACACGGCCCAAACUCCUACGGGAGGCAGCAGUGGGGAAUCUUGCGCAAUGGGCGAAAGCCUGACGCACCAUGCCGCGUGAAUGAUGAAGGUCUUAGGAUUGUAAAAUUCUUUCACCGGGGACGAUAAUGACGGUACCCGGAGAAGAAGCCCCGGCUAACUUCGUGCCAGCAGCCGCGGUAAUACGAAGGGGGCUAGCGUUUGCUCGGAAUUACUGGGCGUAAAGGGAGCGUAUGCGGAU
rnacentral:rRNA from 1 species